AAGGAUCAUUAUUGAAUGAACUUGGUGUGGUUGUUGCUGGCCCUCUCCGGGGGCAUGUGCACACCCGCCAUUCUCAUCUCUCCACCUGUGCACAUCUUGUAGACUUGGAUAGACUUUCCGAGGCAACUCGGUCGGUCAGCUUUCUUUGCAUUUCCAAGCCUAUGUUUUUCAUAUACCCUAAAGUAUGUAACAGAAUGUAUAAUUGGGCCCAAGUGCCUAUAAACCUUAUACAACUUUCAGCAACGGAUCUCUUGGCUCUCGCAUCGAUGAAGAACGCAGCGAAAUGCGAUAAGUAAUGUGAAUUGCAGAAUUCAGUGAAUCAUCGAAUCUUUGAACGCACCUUGCGCUCCUUGGUAUUCCGAGGAGCAUGCCUGUUUGAGUGUCAUAUAAUUCUCAACCUUAUUAGCUUUUGCUGAUUAAUGGCUUGGAUGUGGGGGUUCUCUUUUGCCGGCUUCUUCAGAGGUCAGCUCCCCUUAAAUGCAUUAGCUGGUGCCCCGCGUGGACUGUCUAUUUGGUGUGAUAAUUAUCUACGCCGUGGAUGUCUGCAAUGGGUCGUGCACUGCUUAUAGCUGUCCGUUCAUUUGGACAAUACAUGACAAUUUGACCU
rnacentral:rRNA from 1 species